ensembl:snRNA U6 U6 spliceosomal RNA
GUGCUUGCUUUGGUAGCACAUAUGCUAAAAUUGGAACGAUGCAGAGAAGAUCAGCAUGGUCCCUGUGCAUAGAUGACACACAAAUUUGUGAAGUGCUCCAUAUUUCA